UCAGUCGACUCCUACGGGGAGGCAGCAGUGGGGAAUAUUGCACAAUGGGGGAAACCCUGAUGCAGCCAUGCCGCGUGUGUGUAGAAGGCCUUCGGGUUGUAAAGCACUUUCAGUAGGGAGGAAGGUAGUGUAGUUAACACCUGCAUUAUUUGACGUUACCUACAGAAGAAGCACCGGCUAACUCCGUGCCAGCAGCCGCGGUAAUACGGAGGGUGCGAGCGUUAAUCGGAAUUACUGGGCGUAAAGCGCAUGCAGGCGGCCUGUUAAGUCAGAUGUGAAAGCCCGGGGCUUAACCUCGGAAUUGCAUUUGAAACUGGCAGGCUAGAGUCUUGUAGAGGGGGGUAGGAAUUUCAGGUGUAGCGGUGAAAUGCGUAGAGAUCUGAAGGAAUACCAGUGGCGAAGGCGGCCCCCUGGACAAAGACUGACGCUCAGAUGCGAAAGCGUGGGGAGCAAACAGGAUUAGAUACCCUGGUAG
rnacentral:rRNA from 1 species